GUAUUGUAUUGCGUUAAACGCAGAUGCAUUCCAUGAGACUUUGUUACAGUGUGUGUGUGUAAAGAUGCAGAACCACAGCAGGAGGAUGGGUCCCCCAACCACAGAACUACAGAGGGUGCACAGGGUGUGAGUGGAUGUGUUAACAGAGCGUGCACAUGCCCCCGCUUGAGGACCAGCAACAACUCUUGUUGACAAUUCGGUAAUGAUCCUUCCGCAGGUUCACCUACGGAAA
rnacentral:misc_RNA from 1 species